UAAAAGUGAGAAAAUCAGGAAGAGAAUUUCCAUCCCAUAAGGUUCUUCCAAAGACAAUGUGAGUUAAUGAGUCAACUUUAAAAGCAAAGAAAGCAAUUCUAUAAUUAAAUCUGCAAGUGUACCUAUUUUAAUUAUUUUAUUUAUAUUUUAAAAAUUAUUUUGCAAGUGAUGAAAAAUCUCAUCAGGAAGAAGAACGUGCUCAACACCUGUGCGUGGGUGUGUGAACCACAGAAAGGCACGAGGAGAAAGCGGCAAUUGCUAAUUUGCAUAUCUUAAUUGCGUUCUUUGUGCGAGAACUUUUUGCCAUCGCAGGAACGGGGUAAACAGGACACUGCAACUGCAACUGCAUUAACAUUGCACACACAAAAGUGCAACUAGGCGACGCUUUAAAUCAGCCCAUGGCUCCAUCCUGUGGCAAGGACAUUCCCAACAGUUAUUGGCUACAUUUUGGAGUGACAACAAUGCCGCAGGCAGCAGCAACAACAACAAUUGCAAUCAAAAGACAAACAAAAUUAAAAUUAAAUGAAAAUCGCCGUUCGCUAAAAGCAACAAGGCAACAAACUGUAUAUUUUACUGUUAAAUGCUUGACCUUAAAUUUACCAUUUGUAGUAACAUGGAUCGACUUAAGGCGGCCUUAAGCUUUGCCCAACUAUAACUGGAAAAUGUGAAAUGAAAGUGCAGCAAAUGCAAAACUUUUUGUCCACAAGAAAAA